rnacentral:rRNA from 1 species
UUGCCCCAGUAACGGCGAGUGAAGCGGCAACAGCUCAAAUUUGAAAUCUGGCUCUUUUAGAGUCCGAGUUGUAAUUUGCAGAGGGCGCUUUGGCUUUGGCAGCGGUCCAAGUUCCUUGGAACAGGACGUCACAGAGGGUGAGAAUCCCGUACGUGGUCGCUGGCUAUUGCCGUGUAAAGCCCCUUCGACGAGUCGAGUUGUUUGGGAAUGCAGCUCUAAAUGGGAGGUACAUUUCUUCUAAAGCUAAAUAUUGGCCAGAGACCGAUAGCGCACAAGUAGAGUGAUCGAAAGAUGAAAAGCACUUUGGAAAGAGAGUCAAACAGCACGUGAAAUUGUUGAAAGGGAAGCGCUUGCAGCCAGACUUGCUUGCAGUUGCUCAUCCGGGCUUUUGCCCGGUGCACUCUUCUGCAGGCAGGCCAGCAUCAGUUUGGGCGGUAAGAUAAAGGUCUCUGUCACGUACCUCUCUUCGGGGAGGCCUUAUAGGGGAGACGACAUAUUACCAGCCUGGACUGAGGUCCGCGCAUCUGCUAGGAUGCUGGCGUAAUGGCUGUAAGCGGCCCGUCUUGAAACACGGACCAAGGAGUCUAACAUCUAUGCGAGUGUUUGGGUGUCAAGCCCGAGCGCGUAAUGAAAGUGAACGGAGGUAGGAACCCGCAAGGGUGCACUAUCGACCGAUCCUGAUGUCUUCGGAAGGAUUUGAGUAAGAGCAUGGCUGUUGGGACCCGAAAGAUGGUGAACUAUGCUUGAAUAGGGUGAAGCCAGAGGAAACUCUGGUGGAGGCUCGCAGCGGUUCUGACGUGCAAAUCGAUCGUCAAAUUUGGGCAUAGGGGCGAAAGACUAAUCG